rnacentral:rRNA from 1 species
GAGCGGCGAACGGGUGAGUAACAUAUCGGAACGUACCCAGUCGUGGGGGAUAACUAUCCGAAAGGAUAGCUAAUACCGCAUACGUCCUGAGGGAGAAAGCGGGGGACCGCAAGGCCUCGCGCGAUUGGAGCGGCCGAUAUCGGAUUAGCUAGUUGGUGAGGUAAAGGCUCACCAAGGCGACGAUCCGUAGCUGGUCUGAGAGGACGACCAGCCACACUGGAACUGAGACACGGUCCAGACUCCUACGGGAGGCAGCAGUGGGGAAUUUUGGACAAUGGGGGCAACCCUGAUCCAGCCAUUCCGCGUGAGUGAAGAAGGCCUUCGGGUUGUAAAGCUCUUUCAGCAGGAACGAAACGGUGGUCCCUAAUACGGACUACUAAUGACGGUACCUGAAGAAGAAGCACCGGCUA